AAGUCGUAACAAGGUCUCCGUUGGUGAACCAGCGGAGGGAUCAUUGCUGGAACAAACGCCCUCACGGGUGCUACCCAGAAACCCUUUGUGAAUUAUACCAAACUGUUGCCUCGGCAUUAGCUGAAUCUUUUAAGGGAUUCCCUUUUUCUUCGGAGAAAGGAGCAGGCUGGCCGGUGGCCCUAUACACUCUUAUUUUUAAAAUAUUACUCUGAGUAAAACAACUAUAAAUGAAUCAAAA
rnacentral:misc_RNA from 1 species